GACAUAGGUGGCGAACGUUAUCCGGAAUUAUUGGGCGUAAAGGAUGCGUAGAUGGUAGAAUAAGUUAUUGGUCGAUGCCAAACUCAAUUUGGCGGAAGCUGGUAAUACUGUUCAGCUAGAGGGCAGGAGAGGUUGAUGGAAUUCUGUGUGGAGCGGUGAAAUGCGUUGAUCUGCAGAGGAACACCAAAAAAGGCGAAGGCAGUUAACUAUUCUGUUCCUGACAUUGAGGCAUGAAAGCGUGGGGAGCAAACCGG
rnacentral:rRNA from 1 species